CCAAGUAACAGGCUGGAGAGGUGCAGAGCAAAGUCUCUGGAGGCUCUUCAAACCUUAUCCUCCUGUUUCCAG
rnacentral:miRNA from 1 species